UUGGAACAGCUUCAUUUCGU
rnacentral:miRNA from 1 species